rnacentral:RNase_P_RNA from 1 species
ACCGCAGACUAUUCCGCCGUUGUUCAGCAAUGAACAGAGGAAAGUCCGGGCAACACAGAGCAGCUUGCUUCCUAACGGGAAGAGGUUUUCCGAGUAAUCGGGGAAUUAUGGAAAGUGCCACAGAAAAGUAAACUACCCGAAGGAGUUCGUCUUCAUUGGGAAAAGGUGAAAAAGUGCGGUAAGAGCGCACUCAGCAAUUGGCGACAGUUGUUGUGGUAAACCCCAGGCGUUGAAAAACCAAAUAGGUUACGAUCGUACAACUGCUCGUUGUCUUUCACUUCGGUGAUUAUCGUAAUGGGUAGGUUGCUUGAUCCUAAUAGCAAUGUUAGGACUAGAUAAAUGGCGGAAGCCGUUAGCGAUUCGUUCGCAAAGCGGAAACAGAACCCGGCUUAUCGGUCUGUAUUUUUU